rnacentral:rRNA from 1 species
AUGAAGCUGGAGUUACUAGUAAUCGCAGAUCAGAAUGCUGCGGUGAAUGCGUUCCCGGGUCUUGUACACACCGCCCGUCACACCACGGAAGUUGGGGCGCCCGAAGCCACUUAGCUAACCCUUUUGGGAAGCGAGUGUCGAAGGUGAAAUCAAUAACUGGGGUGAAGUCGUAACAAGGUACC